AGUGAACGCUGGCGGCGUGCCUAACACAUGCAAGUCGAACGGAACUUUUCUGAGAUUACAUCAAGGGAAAGUUUAGUGGCAGACGGGUGAGUAUCACAUAGGUCAUUUACCUUCGAGAGGGAAAUAACUCCGAGAAAUCGGAGCUAAUGUCCCAUAGGACCACGGCCUUUCCUACGAAAGGCAGGGGCCAAAGCUCCGCAAGGGGCACUUGAAGAUGAGCCUGUGUCCUANCAGCUAGUUGGUGAGGUAACGGCCACCAAGGCUAAGACGGUAUCCGACCUGAAAGGUGACCGGACACACUGGAACUGAGACACGGUCCAGACUCCUACGGGAGGCAGCAGUGGGGAAUUUUUCUCAAUGGGCGCAAGCCUGAAGGAGCGACGCCGCGUGGGGGAUGAAGGGUUUCGAUCCGUAAACCCCUGUCAUUUGUGAACAAUGGUUAGUGUUUAAGAGAUGCUGACUUGAUAG
rnacentral:rRNA from 1 species